CUGGCCAAUCCACUCCGCGUCUUCUGCAACCAAUCACCCAAUCCCUUCCUCGCCUCAGUCCCGUGCCAGCCGCCGCCCAAACCCUAGCCCCCGUUUCCCUCUAUCCCCACAGUAACCGCACCAAACCCUAGCCCCCCAUCCACAACCACCCGCUCCUUCUCACAGCCGCCGCACCAUUCCCCCCUUCCACCCCCUCCUCCUUCCCGGAUCCCCACCACGGCGCCGACCUGCAGGCAAAGGGCAACGAAGAGUGGCAGACGAGGACAACGAGGGAGAGAAAGAAGGGAGAAAAAAAGGAGGCUGGUGGCGAGGCCCAGCGACUAGCGCCUCUCCGCCUCAAGCCCUCGCAUCACCGCCACCAGAUAAAGGGCGAAGGCGGCGACGCUCGAGCAGAUGAGAGGGAGUGAGAGGUAGGUGCAGUAAGGCGACGGACGGGAGAGGGGCGAGGGCGAGCUCCAGCGCGAGCGCGCGGACCCAUCACCCACGCCAGCGAGGUCCUCGGCCCCGAGCUACGCCUCUACAACCGCGAAGGUGACUGCUGCGACCACGCUAGGUUUUGUUCAGUGCGCACACACACUGUGCCGUCUCCAGGUGCCAGUUGAACUUACUGUCGGGCUUUAUUGCCCUCCUCUGAUUUGGUGUUGUGGGAGAAAGAAGAAGAGCAGGCAUGUUCUCUGUUUCUACAUCCAGCGUCCACAGGUCUAGAUCGACGGGUCUAAACUCUUGAUGUAGCACAUUAUGUGUAUGAAUCAAUAUGAAUCAUGGUGAAUGUCAAGCCUACUUAGUUCAUACCCAAGUAAGAAUACAGAAAGAAUAAGCUACUAGCAUUCCUAAUGUGCAAGUAAACCUACUAGGAUUACGCCUGCAAAAAAAGUUCAUGAAAUUUUAAAGCUAUAGGUAGGGGCUUGCGGUAUGGGGGACAUCAUUGUGGCAGUUGAAACCCAAACAUUUAUUCAUGAGUGUAUGAUCUGGACUGCGCUUUUCUGAAAAUGUUGAAGUAUGGCCUUGAAAGGCAAGUUGGAUGGUUGGAGAUGCUCAAAAGAUGUAACAAAGAGAGAAGAUAAGAGGGGGGGAGAGAAGGAGAAGAGGGAGUGCCCGAUUCGAUCUGCAGGAGAGAGAGAAGAUAAGAGGGAGAGAGAGAAGGAAGGAGAGGAGGGAGAACUCUAUUGCCGCCGCGUGCCGUACUUCUGGAUAGAGCACUGCCUGACCAAGGGUUAAGAGUAGAAGGUAAAAACCCUAGCCACAAUGCUCCCGUGCGGGUUGCAUCCCCGCAUCUCCCGUUUCAUUAUUUCACCAUCGCUGCCUCUUCUCCUCUUCGUUGCUCUACUUCUUCCCCUGAUUCCUCUUUUUCGUUUUUUCUCUUUGUGGCGCCGCCGAGGAUGAGUGGAGCGGCUGCUGAAGCAGGCACUGGUGCGCUGCUGGCGAAGCGGUGGUAAAUGGUGUCGUCGAUGUUGUCCUUGGCAGAAGUUAUCCCCAUUGGCUUGCGGAUAUGCUCAUGCUGGGUUGUUCUUGUUUAUUUUCUCUAUCCAACAUCAUUGCAGGUUGGUGUUUCCUCUCUUUCUCAUUGCAGCUACCUAUGCCUCUAUUAUCUAGGAUUUUGCAAGUUAAAUACCCAUGUGUGCUGAACUGAAAAGUUCUCUAUGCAACAUCUAUUGCAGUUUGGUGUUUCCUACCUAUGCCUCUAUUAUUCUAGGAUUUUGAAAGUUAAUUUCUCAUGUGUGCUGAAUUGAAAAGCGCAAUGAAAGGCACUUAUUUCAAAGCACAAAUGCUUUUGUUGCUAUAAGAAUCUGUAGAGAAUAAAUAUAUAUGUCUCCUCCGUUCAUUGCCCUUUUUUGCGGGUAGUUCAUUGCCAUUUUGGAUUCAUAUGUGAAGUCUAUUGUUGUUAAUUAUAGUUAACUAAUUUAUUAAUUCAUGGUUGUUUUAGUUGCUAACCAUAUGAUUGGUAGCCUUGGACAGAAGAGGGCCAGCAACAAACAGAAGCAACCACAGUCCUGUCCAGAACAUGUAUAUCUUCAGUUUUGGUUGCCUUCCGUUUACUUGCCAACAAGCGACACUAAGCUCACAUAUUUACUGUUUGCUUUGUUAUAUACUUAAUCUACUAGACAAAGUGUAAAAUGGAAAUUCAUGGUCGACAAUUUUGUAUAUUUAUAAACCUAGAUGCUACUCUAAUUGGUUUUACUUCUUCCAUAUAUUUUCUCCUCUUGGUGUGUAUAAACAGUGCACAAAGUUAAUUUCUUUUCCUUCUCGACCGCAUCUAAUUAAAGAAAAUAGAGAGGAAUCUAAGAGAUACACAACCAAAAGAACUUUGCUUCUUUGACUUUUCGGCCGUGUCUAACUUUUGGUAAAAGAGAGAGGAAUUUGAGAUAGAUAGACAACUUGAAGAGCUUUGAACAGCUUUGAACGUUCAAGUAUGCCGCUGGCCUCCUCGCAGCUGCUAUCGCGUGGCUGGCACCAGUGUGUGGCAGCUUCUGAGAUGGGCGCAGUUUACUCCGGGUUCAGUGAUGGUGUUGAAAAGCACCUUAACUGAGCCAAGGAAUUUAGUAGCAUUGUGGGAUGAUUAACCAAUUUUUUCUGUUUCCUAUACUAUCUUAUCAUAUUAUAAUUUUGGUGUCCUGGUAGGCAGGGAUCAGCUUUGGUGGCAUCCGAUGCUGGCAGGCCACGGGGUUAGAGCAGAGGAAGCUAACAUGGUGUUCGAAAUUCAGAUGGUCAUUGUGAUCCACCAGAUGCUGCGCCUCAUGUCACCCCGAGCCUCAAGGGCUUGUUAGCAUCAUAAACUGGGGAGGGCUGAGAUGAACAUCCGGCUCCUUGGGUCUAAGCCAUCAAGAUGGUAGAGACGAUGUUUCCAUGUCAUCUACUCCAGCAGCUGGACAAGGCAUAUAAAAACCAUGGAUCCUUUGCUCCCCAGGCCGCAAAAUGAUCACAAUGUCUGCGACCUCCUCCUAGAUGUAUUAAUCUCAAUCUCAUGUUUGGUUUUCUUCCCUUUUCUCUACUAAUAAUGUAAUUUCUUUUACUAAGAUAAUACCACGUUUGUUGUAAUGCCUUAUUUGAUGUAAGAUCCCUUUUCUACUUUGAAUGAAUUUACCGCAUAUAUUUCUUAUUUAGUUUA